GACGAACGCUGGCGGCGUGCUUAACACAUGCAAGUCGAGCGGUAAGGCCCUUUCGGGGGUACACGAGCGGCGAACGGGUGAGUAACACGUGUGUGACCUGCCCUCAGCUCUGGGAUAAGCCCGGGAAACCGGGUCUAAUACUGGAUAUGACUCCAUGACGCAUGUUGUGGGGUGGAAAGCCUUGUGCGGCUGAGGAUGGGCCCGCGGCCUAUCAGCUUGUUGGUGGGGGGAUGGCCUACCAAGGCGAC
rnacentral:rRNA from 1 species